GAUGAACGCUGGCGGCGUGCCUAAUACAUGCAAGUCGAGCGAACAGACGAGGAGCUUGCUCCUCUGACGUUAGCGGCGGACGGGUGAGUAACACGUGGAUAACCUACCUAUAAGACUGGGAUAACUUCGGGAAACCGGAGCUAAUACCGGAUAAUAUAUUGAACCGCAUGGUUCAAUAGUGAAAGACGGUUUUGCUGUCACUUAUAGAUGGAUCCGCGCCGCAUUAGCUAGUUGGUAAGGUAACGGCUUACCAAGGCGACGAUGCGUAGCCGACCUGAGAGGGUGAUCGGCCAAACUGGAACUGAGACACGGUCCAGACUCCUACGGGAGGCAGCAGUAGGGAAUCUUCCGCAAUGGGCGAAAGCCUGACGGAGCAACGCCGCGUGAGUGAUGAAGGGCUUCGGAUCGUAAAACUCUGUUAUUAGGGAAGAACAAAUGUGUAAGUAACUAGGCACGUCUUGACGGUACCUAAUCAGAAAGCCACGGCUAACUACGUGC
rnacentral:rRNA from 1 species